rnacentral:misc_RNA from 1 species
GAUGAAGAACGUAGCGAAAUGCGAUAAGUAAUGUGAAUUGCAGAAUUCAGUGAAUCAUCGAAUCUUUGAACGCACAUUGCGCCCCCUGGUAUUCCGGGGGGCAUGCCUGUUCGAGCGUCAUUUCACCACUCAAGCCUCGCUUGGUAUUGGGCAACGCGGUCCGCCGCGUGCCUCAAAUCGACCGGCUGGGUCUUCUGUCCCCUAAGCGUUGUGGAAACUAUUCGCUAAAAGGGUGUUCGGGAGGCUACGCCGUAAAACAACCCCAUUUCUAAGGUUGACCUCGGAUCAGGUAGGGAUACCCGCUGAACUUAAGCAUAUCAAUAAGCGGAGGA